rnacentral:misc_RNA from 1 species
GAUGAAGAACGUAGCGAAAUGCGAUACUUGGUGUGAAUUGCAGAAUCCCGUGAACCAUCGAGUCUUUGAACGCAAGUUGCGCCCGAAGCCACUAGGCCGAGGGCACGCCUGCCUGGGCGUCACACGUCGUUGCCCCCCCCCCAUCUACUCCUUCGGGAUUGCGGGGGCGGAUGAUGGCCUCCCGUGCGCCUAGCCGCGCGGUUGGCAUAAAUACCAAGUCCUCGGCGACGCACGCCACGACAAUCGGUGGUUGCGAAACCUCGGUUGCCCGUCGUGUGCGUUCGUCGCGCAUCGAGGGCUCGAAAAAAUGCUCGGCUCCGGCUCGGCUUUCAACGCGACCCCAGGUCAGGCGGGGUUACCCGCUGAAUUUAAGCAUAUCAAUAAGCGGAGGA